rnacentral:rRNA from 1 species
ACGCGUGGGGAACCUGCCCUAUACAGGGGGAUAACAGCUGGAAACGGCUGCUAAUACCGCAUAAGCGCACAGAAUCGCAUGAUUCAGUGUGAAAAGCCCUGGCAGUAUAGGAUGGUCCCGCGUCUGAUUAGCUGGUUGGUGAGGUAACGGCUCACCAAGGCGACGAUCAGUAGCCGGCUUGAGAGAGUGAACGGCCACAUUGGGACUGAGACACGGCCCAAACUCCUACGGGAGGCAGCAUG